CCCCGAGCCUCUGCGGGCCUCGCAGAUCGGGUGAAACCGAGCUGAGGAAACGGCCGCUUGUGGGCUGCGCGGGGGGGGCUGCAGGGCGACGGGCGCUGUGGGAAGCGCUGGUGGCAGAAGCGCUUGUCCCGCCGUGACAAAGCCGAACGCGCCAGCGGCGUUGCCUGCUAACGGUUAACGGAGCUGCCGCGGUUAUGUUGCGACGCAGGAAUCUGAGAUUUGGUCGCGCAUGAAGGUUAUCAGAGAACGUGAAUUUAAAGUAGGAUAGCUGCCUCCCAGAGUAAUGCCGCGUGUGGAAAGUCCUGCUGCGGAAAUAUCCCUUUCACCUUCCCGCACUACAGCCUACUGAUGGUUGAUACGCCAAUGAUAAGGAGCCUUCCUUUGUUGUGAAAUUUUGAAGUUCUUGUCAGCUGGGCUAGCCCCAGCCUUAGCUGAAAACUAAUGCCAGAGAUAUUCAGGAGGAAAGAAUUCUGCUGAUGAUCACCGGAAUCGCCAUUUCUCUGAGCUCUGCCAUCAUUUUCAGCAGAUGAUACAAUUCAGUGUCAUUAGGCAGUGUCAUUUGACCAAAUAUAAAAGAUAACUGGUGGAUUUUUCUCCAUUACCCUCAGGUCAACAUCCCACAAUAUUUCACUAAGAGGAUCCUCUGACAGAGUUUCGGUAGCAAUGAGAGCUGUUAGUGACUUUCUGCGCUUGUGGUUCUACCGUUUGGGAACAGCAGGAGAAUUUUCCUAUUUUGGAAUUUAAGGAUCAGACAGCUGUCGUGGAAUAGACAUAUCUUUCACAAAAUUUCUCAGCCUCAGGAGGCUGAGAGAGCACAAAUGCUAUCACAGAUGACAGAAGACAAAAAAGCAGCUCCGUUGCAGGGCAUAAGUUAUAAAGACUCAGACGUGGGCCACGUGUAUGCAUCCAGUGGAAAUGCUUUAUGAAAGGGGGUCAUGGUGCAACAUCCAUUCAGUAUCUUGAGGUGAAUAUCCUCAGGCAACCAAUACUGCAAGAACUAUAACUUUCAAAAUCUGGGAAGUUGUUCUUGCAACCAGGAUGUGUAUUUUGACGGAACACCUCCAUGAUUCAUUGCUGGAUUUCCUGGAAUCUGGGUUGAUUAUUAUCUGGAACAAUUCUUCUUCGAAUAAGAUUUUUAUGGGAGAAACACAUGGAAUCACAGCCGAAAAUCUCACACUGCAGAGCUAAUGUCUUCAGUCUCACAUUAGGCCAGGACUGGCCACCUACUAAGGAAUAUCAUUACAAUGAGUGCAGCAUCCCCUGGAAGGGCAUCAGUCCCUUUCACUGACUGCAGGUAUGGUAACGCAGGUUUCUUUUGGCCUUUUCCUAUGGUGAGUACUCAUCUACUCAACAGAGCUCCCCUCUAAUGAGAAGCCACACCAUUUCUGAGACACAUACGUGUACUAUCACGUACAGGAUAAUCAGUACAUCUGACCACAUCAACACUAAUCCACUUGGUACUAGGACUAAUUCAAAGCUAGCAAUUUAAUUACUGUGUGUAAAUUCCUGCUUCAUAAUGGAGCUGCACCUGAGAGCAGCAUAAGGUCGCAAGGAAGAGUUAUUGGUACCCCUCAAAGCAUCUUUACUGCCAAGUGCCUGCUUGCUUUGGAGGAGGCUCUCCUUUGGGGGAGGUUCCCCUUAUUGUUGGAGACCCUGAAAGAGCUUUUCUUUGUGGACGAAAGAAGAUCUGCGAAAAUCCAUAAGGGCCAGUCUAAGGAUCUUUAGUUCAGUAAAAGGCUGAAGAGCCUUUGGGAAAUGGCCUGUGCCUGUCUUCUGUAGGCACUGGCAGAAGAUUUUUGCCUUAACUGUGCAUUGAGUGAUGUGUACUAACUGUGUUUGUGGGCAAACACAGCAGAGAGCGUACUUCCCUUUUAAAGGAGGCAAGGUCAACAUGGGCAGGCUGAGGGACCAGUGCUGAGUUUUAGCUCACAAAGGAAAAUGUCUCAUCUCCACUGUUCACACACAGACAGUUAACAUGCAUUACAUACAUCACAGCUGAGUAUUUAGCCUGUGGUAAGCACAUUUUUAGCAGCAAAAGGAAAGCAAGAAAGUGAAAAGUGACAGAAAUGAUUCUUCAAUUUAAUAUUUUGAUCUGCGUAUCUUCCCUGCAUGUGAA